AGAUUUCUGUCUCCAUUUUCACCAAAUCCAAAGUCCAGACAAUGCAAGAUGCAGCAGUCAAAAGUUGAGCACAUGAUCCCACAUGAACCCAAAAUGGCAUCGGAUCCCAACAUCCUUGGCAUUUCAGACAGUAAUAACUAAUAAGAAAUGAAUCAACACUAAUAUAUAAUUCAGAAUUCACUAUCUUUAGCUUUACUUGACUCACUAUACAACAAGCAUCGCGACCAUAAGAACCAAGAUCCUUCACUACCAUGAAGAGCUGGUCCAUAGCACUGACUACUCUUGCUCUUACACUGUCACUGCUAUCAUUAACCUGGUCUACCAGGGCCAAAGCUGAGGUUCUCCCAUCAAUACAAGUGAACUCUUGGCCAUCAAGCAAGACUUCAUCUUCUCGUCACGCUCUAAUAGAUUUGCACGCUCAUAGAAAGAAUCUUUCUAAGCAGGUGGAUUCCAGUUUCCGAAGGAUACCUCCAAGCAAAUCAAAUCCCACACAGAACAAGUUCAAUCCUCCAACAUAUGAUUGACAGACAGACCGAACAAACAGCAAUAUUUAUUUCCUUAAUUUUGUUUCAAUUGCGCCUUUUGAAACAAACAUAUCUGUUAGUGUAUACUUGAUUACUUGUAUCUUACCUUUCAACUGCCAAGUGGCAAUGUUUAUAUGUAUUGCAAUUUACAUUGAAUUUUACAGUUUUGCCAACCAA